rnacentral:rRNA from 1 species
GACGAACGCUGGCGGCGUGCCUAAUACAUGCAAGUUGAGCGCUGAAGGUUGGUACUUGUACCAACUGGAUGAGCAGCGAACGGGUGAGUAACGCGUGGGGAAUCUGCCUUUGAGCGGGGGACAACAUUUGGAAACGAAUGCUAAUACCGCAUAAAAACUUUAAACACAAGUUUUAAGUUUGAAAGAUGCAAUUGCAUCACUCAAAGAUGAUCCCGUGUUGUAUUAGCUAGUUGGUGAGGUAAAGGCUCACCAAGGCGAUGAUACAUAGCCGACCUGAGAGGGUGAUCGGCCACAUUGGGACUGAGACACGGCCCAAACUCCUACGGGAGGCAGCAGUAGGGAAUCUUCGGCAAUGGACGAAAGUCUGACCGAGCAACGCCGCGUGAGUGAAGAAGGUUUUCGGAUCGUAAAACUCUGUUGGUAGAGAAGAACGUUGGCGAGAGUGGAAAGCUCAUCAAGUGACGGUAACUACCCAGAAAGGGACGGCUAACUACGUG